AGGGUUGUGGCUCAGUGGUGGAGUGCUUGCCUAGCAUGCAUGAGGCACUGGGUUCAAUGCCCAGCACCACAU
rnacentral:tRNA from 1 species